GUAGACUGCAAGAGUGGCCUCCGCUACCCUUCCAAGCAAUUGCCUAAUACCGUACACUGUCAGUCUCAUCUCAUGCCGCCCUUUCAUAAACCCAGACCAGAUUCUCCACAUUCCUUGACGUCCCGUGUUCGAUUCUCCACUCUCCCUUUUCUCUCUCUAGCUCUCUCUUUCUAUUUAUUUUUAUCGGUAACUAACCAUUUUAAUAACAAACUCCAACUUCUUCUUCACUCUUCUUUGUUCCUCUUUUCUCUAUUUCUCUCAAUCUAAAUGGCUUCCCUCCACCACUCAUCCGCUGUUAAGGCCGCCAAAGUCCUUAUGGUUGGAGCAGGUGGUAUUGGCUGCGAGUUACUCAAGACGCUAGCUCUCUCUGGUUUUCAAGAUAUUCAUAUCAUUGACAUGGAUACAAUAGAAGUCAGUAACCUUAACAGACAAUUUUUGUUCCGGCAAUCACAUGUUGGGCAGUCAAAGGCCAUGGUUGCUCGGGAUGCUGUGUUGCGAUUUAGGCCUAACAUAAGUAUUACGCCAUACCAUGCAAAUGUGAAGGAUUCUGACUUCAAUGUGGAGUUUUUCAAACAGUUUAAUGUUGUUCUGAAUGGUCUUGACAACUUGGAAGCAAGGCGGCAUGUGAACCGUCUUUGCUUGGCCGCUGAAGUUCCUUUGGUUGAAAGUGGGACUACUGGCUUCCUAGGACAGGUGAUCUUUUUUUGUUACAUGUCCUUUGUCAGGAAUUCACUAAAGACGUUCUUUUGUUAAUUGUCUGUUAUUGAUAACUAGUUUGUUUCUCAUUUUUUUUCAUCUUUGUUGCCCUUCUUCUUUUGGUCUCCAAGUUAUGACCAAUAAUUUGAGGUUUCUGGCUUUUCUUUUGCCAAAAAAUGUUUUGAUUAACAAAGAAACAAAUAGAUUGUGAACAGGUUGUGAAUUUGGAAUAUUAUGAGUAUAUGGAGGUGGCUAAUUAAGCAGCUGAAAGAAUUGGUUCUGCUUCUUUUAGUGGAUGUAGCUAAAUUACUUAUUCUCUAUUCCACUUAACUAUCUAUCAUGCUUUUACACACACUCAGCAAGUUAAUUUUCUUGAUGUUAUUUCUUCAUAUGUUUCUGAUAAUGAUGAUAAUAUAUAUGUAUAUAUCUUUUCUUUUUCUGUAUUACGGAGUCAGGUCACCGUGCAUGCGAAGGGGAAAACUGAGUGCUAUGAGUGUCAGCCUAAACCUGCCCCAAAGACAUAUCCCGUGUGUACAAUUACUAGUACUCCAUCCAAGUUUGUUCACUGUAUAGUUUGGGCAAAGGACCUACUUUUUGCAAAGUUGUUUGGAGACAAGAAUCAGGAAAAUGAUUUAAAUGUACGGUCUAGCGAUGCUUCCAACUCACCAGAAAAUGGAGAUGAUGUAUUUGAAAGGAGAGACAAUGAAAACAUUGAGCAAUAUGGAAGGAGAAUAUACGAUCAUGUGUUUGGUUAUAACAUUGAGGUAGCUUUGUCUAAUCAGGAGACGUGGAAAAACCGUAAUAGGCCAAAACCUAUAUAUAGUAGGGAUGUUCUUCCUGGAAAACUGAAUCAUCAAAAUGGCAAUGUUGAUAAAAGCUGUGCAACUGAUGAUCUUUCAUCAGUGUCUUCCAUGGCAUCUUUGGGCUUGAAGAAUCCACAGGAUGUAUGGAGCCUUGCAGAAAAUACAAGAGUUUUUCUUGAAUCUUUGAAACUAUUUUUUGCUAGUAGAGAAAAGGAGAUUGGAAACCUGAGUUUUGACAAAGAUGAUCAGUUGGCAGUGGAAUUUGUUACUGCUGCUGCAAAUAUUCGAGCUGCUUCAUUUGGGAUUCCUUUGCAUAGCCUUUUUGAAGCUAAAGGUAUUGCAGGUAAUAUUGUGCAUGCUGUGGCAACAACUAAUGCUGUUGUAGCUGGUUUAAUUGUCAUUGAAGCAAUCAAGGUGUUGAAAAAGGAUAUUGACAAUUACAGGUGGGGCUCAAUUCCCUUUUCCUCUUUGUGAACUUCAUUUCUCGUUUUUAAAUAUAUAUCAGGUGGCCUUGUAUGGUUGAGGGGUAUGCCUGAGGAACUGAGGCUGGUCUUUUUAACUGUUUCUGAAUUACUCAACUAGUCAACUGUCAGCUAAGACUCAGUUUCAAGACUCAAAUUUCUUUGUCUUUCCAUACUAGGAGGGGAAAGAAGGUUUGAGGUUGGACAUGAUGCUUUCUCUGUUUUCCUUAGAUGUAUAGUCUGGCUAUCUUUUACUUUUGUUUUGUGAAAGUAAGGCUAGUGGUGUAUAGUUUCUGUAAAUUUUUAUGCAUUCUGAAAUAUUAGCUAUGAUUAUUUUGCAGCAUUCUUGUUCUAAUAUUAUCGACUAUCCAUUCAGGAUGACAUAUUGUUUAGAACAUCCAUCAAAAAAGAUGCUUCUUAUGCCAGUGGAACCCUUUGAACCUAACAAAUCAUGCUGUGUUUGUUCUAAGUCACCGCUAUCACUGGAGAUUAAUACUCAUCAUUCAAAGCUGCGGGAUUUUGUCGAGAAGAUAGUUAAAGCCGAGCUUGGCAUGAACUCCCCAAUAAUUAUGCAUGGAGUAACCCUUCUUUAUGAAGUUGGUGAUGAUCUUGAAGAAGAUAUGAUAGCAAAUUAUACUGCUAACCUGGAAAAGGUGCUAUCUGAGCUUCCUUCUUCAGUUAUUGGUGGCACAAUGCUCACAGUAGAAGAUCUUCAACAGGAGUUCACUUGCAAUAUCUAUAUCAAGCAUAGGUUUGUGUUUAUCUUAUUCUUUCACACUUUCUCACAUUAUGUUUGAGAAAGGUUUUCAGUCUAUUUACUGUUCAAAUCUGUGGAUGGUCUCAAUGGAAAAAUUUUGCAUUCUGCUGUUGUUUCUAUUUCAUCUUUGUCCUACUUAUAAUAUCAUUAGCUUGGUUAUGUAGGGAUGGUGUUUGGAGAGGUUCUUCAUUAACUUUUCUAGAAGUUCUUGGUGCUGUAAAUAUUCUUUCUCAACUUGUUCAUCUUGCUAUAGUUAUCAGAUCAAGUUGUUCCUUGUUUAAUUUUUUUGUCGCCAAGCUUGCUCUCUUGGGUUACAAAUGGUGUUUUCUGAUGAUUAAAUCACAUGGUAUCGGGUGUACCUUUAGGGCUUAAGAAAAUAGCCAUAAUUAUUUUUCUUUCAUUUAUUCAAGUUAAGAAUACCAUGACAGUGUGGUGUAACUUGUUGUAUCUCUGAUUAUGUUAUUAGCAAUGAAGAACAUCCAAACUUGUUUGCAUCGCCGUUCAAGUUGAUUUUUUUUUGGGUAUGUUUGUAUUUGAUUUUGAGGGCCUAUGGUCAUACUAGAAAAACUGUUUUUAAGUUGUCUUAUGGUUUAGUGUCUUGGAUCAAAUUUUCUUUUGAAUUGAGACAACGUCUACUAUCCAUUUUAGUGGACUAUUAGAAGUCGUCUUCUUUUGUAGUUAUCUAAUUAAAUAGCUGUGAUGUUAUAUAGAUUAAUCAGAGACCAAUUUAGUUUUAGUGACAAUAAAUGCAUUGCUGCCUGAAAUCUUUGCAUAAAAUUAGACUGUUAAAAAAAUUUAAUUUCAGAUUGAAUAUGAUGUGUUAUAGCUGAUUUAUUUAUCUUCCCUGUCCUGAUGUUGGAUUGGUUAUUUUUUACACUCUUGAUUCCUUUCAGGGAAGAAUUUGACGAAGAGAAGGAACCUGAUGGAAUGGUUCUCUCUGGAUGGACACAAGCGCCUCUUGAGAAGAAGGAUGAUAACAAGAAGUUGGUUGGCAAUGGUGGGAGCACAUCAACGUCAUUGCCAACAGAGGGUCAAAAAGAAGUCGAGCUCGUUGAAAUUUCAGAAGAGACUGAGAUUUCUGGGAAGAAGAGAAAACAGCCUGGGAUUUCAGGAGAUGAAACUAAUAAUCACAAUGAAAUCCAAAAGUUUGAUGUUGUUGACGAUGGUGAAGAUGACCUUGUGAUACUUGAUCAAUGCGAUAUAGACAAGAAGAAGAAGAAAAGAUUGCAGUAGUAUUUUGCUUCAACUUUUGUUAGGGCUUCUUACAUCCUAAUUUUGUAAAAUUAGGGAGAAAUGGUGAUUCUUUGGUGCUCAUAAUUGCUAUUAGGUUGCAGCUUAGUAGUGUUUUUGGAUGAGUAGAUACCAUUAAUUGUAUCCCCAUUUCCCUUUUGUGGCUAACUGGUGUAGUAACAAUGCGUAUUCUUCCUGGCUAGCUGAGAUUAACAGAGUGGAAAGUAAAAUCAGUGUUCAAACUUGUUCGUAAUAUUCCUAUCAUCUUUCUGUAUUCAAACUUGUUCAUAAUAUU
rnacentral:misc_RNA from 1 species